rnacentral:rRNA from 1 species
UACGUAGGGUGCAAGCGUUAAUCGGAAUUACUGGGCGUAAAGCGUGCGCAGGCGGUGAUGUAAGACAGUUGUGAAAUCCCCGGGCUCAACCUGGGAACUGCAUCUGUGACUGCAUUGCUGGAGUGCGGCAGAGGGGGAUGGAAUUCCGCGUGUAGCAGUGAAAUGCGUAGAUAUGCGGAGGAACACCGAUGGCGAAGGCAAUCCCCUGGGCCUGCACUGACGCUCAUGCACGAAAGCGUGGGGAGCAAACAG